AUGCACAACUGGCUGAAGACUAGAAGGAUAUCCAGGGUGCAAUGGCUGCAAAUAGUAACCUCUUUGGUAGUGUAUGCAGCCUGUUGAUUGUAUGGGUUUCCCAAGGGACCUUGGAGACAGGC
rnacentral:snoRNA from 1 species